UACGAUUGUAGUGACGACAAUACG
rnacentral:siRNA from 1 species